GCAGACAAAAUGGACUGUGGAUUAAUUUGCAUCCAACCCAGUCUUGCUUUCCAAGUUGUUCCCAAAAUGCAGGUUUGCUCCAAAGAUGGUCAGUAGCGACUUAACACACCAACUGUGGAGUAUUGAGCCUAUGUAGAUAGAUCCUCAGAUAAGACCAAAACUGUGUUUAUUCAGUCUGUGAAUGACCGGUUUACAUUUUUUGUUCCCUUUUAGGACAUCAAAAAUUCCUUGAUCAGAUGUGAGAAGAAUUUAGGAGGAUAUGUGCCAGAUGUUUCUCCAGAUUUGAAUGAGAGACUCAAAAUUACCUCUCAGAAGAUUUCAGCUUUACAAAAAGCAUCAGAGUCCUACAAAGAAAGUCUGGAGGGAGCUCUGAUCAAGGCUGUUUGGGAGCAAACCACAAACACAG